AACCAUGGUGCAGGCCUAACACAUGCAAGUCGAGCGCUCACUUCGGUGGGAGCGGCGGACGGGUUAGUAACGCGUGGGAACGUGCCCAGAUCUAAGGAAUAGCCACCGGAAACGGUGAGUAAUACCUUAUACGCCCUUCGGGGGAAAGAUUUAUCGGAUUUGGAUCGGCCCGCGUUAGAUUAGAUAGUUGGUGGGGUAAUGGCCUACCAAGUCUACGAUCUAUAGCUGGUUUUAGAGGAUGAUCAGCAACACUGGGACUGAGACACGGCCCAGACUCCUACGGGAGGCAGCAGUGGGGAAUCUUGGACAAUGGGGGCAACCCUGAUCCAGCCAUGCCGCGUGAGUGAUGAAGGCCUUAGGGUCGUAAAGCUCUUUCGCCAGGGAUGAUAAUGACAGUACCUGGUAAAGAAACCCCGGCUAACUCCGUGCCAGCAGCCGCGGUAAUACGGAGGGGGUUAGCGUUGUUCGGAAUUACUGGGCGUAAAGCGCGCGUAGGCGGAUUGGAAAGUUGGGGGUGAAAUCCCGGGGCUCAACCCCGGAACUGCCUCCAAAACUAUCAGUCUAGAGUUCGAGAGAGGUGAGUGGAAUUCCGAGUGUAGAGGUGAAAUUCGUAGAUAUUCGGAGGAACACCAGUGGCGAAGGCGGCUCACUGGCUCGAUACUGACGCUGAGGUGCGAAAGUGUGGGGAGCAAACAGGAUUAGAUACCCUGGUAGUCCACACCGUAAACGAUGAAUGCCAGUCGUCGGCAAGCAUGCUUGUCGGUGACACACCUAACGGAUUAAGCAUUCCGCCUGGGGAGUACGGUCGCAAGAUUAAAACUCAAAUGAUUGACGGAAGGCGAA
rnacentral:rRNA from 1 species